GGCCAGUUAGGUCAGUCGUUUGAGCGUGGUGCUGAUAACACCAAGGUCGCGGGUUCGAUCCCUGCUCGGUCCC
rnacentral:tRNA from 1 species